rnacentral:rRNA from 1 species
UACGGAAGGCAGCAGUGGGGAAUAUUGCACAAUGGGCGCAAGCCUGAUGCAGCCAUGCCGCGUGUAUGAAGAAGGCCUUCGGGUUGUAAAGUACUUUCAGUCGUGAGGAAGGUGUUAAGGUUAAUAACCUUAGCAAUUGACGUUAGCGACAGAAGAAGCACCGGCUAACUCCGUGCCAGCAGCCGCGGUAAUACGGAGGGUGCGAGCGUUAAUCGGAAUUACUGGGCGUAAAGGGCACGCAGGCGGUUAAUUAAGUUGGAUGUGAAAUCCCCGGGCUUAACCUGGGAAUGGCAUUCAAGACUGGUUAGCUAGAGUCUUGUAGAGGGGGUAGAAUUCCAUGUGUAGCGGUGAAAUGCGUAGAGAUGUGGAGGAAUACCGGUGGCGAAGGCGGCCCCUGGACAAAGACUGACGCUCAUGUGCGAAGCGUGGAGAGCAAACAGGAUUAGAUACC